rnacentral:rRNA from 1 species
UACCAGCACCCCGAGUGGUCGGGACGAUUAUUGGGCCUAAAGCAUCCGUAGCCGGUCCUACAAGUCUUCCGUUAAAUCCACCUGCUUAACAGAUGGGCUGCGGAAGAUACUAUAGGGCUAGGAGGCGGGAGAGGCAAGCGGUACUCAGUGGGUAGGGGUAAAAUCCUCUGAUCCACUGAAGACCACCAGUGGCGAAGGCGGCUCUCUGGACGGUGACUGACGCUGAGACGCGAAAGCGUGGGGAGCAAACAGG